UCUGGUGGAAAUAGCGGAGGGGUCACACCCGUUCCCAUUCCGAACACGGACGUUAAGUCCUCCAGCGCCGAUGGUACUUGGGACGCGAGUCCCUGGGGAGAGUAGGUCUCUGCCAGAU
rnacentral:rRNA from 2 species